rnacentral:lncRNA from 1 species
AAAACCAGCACUACUUCCUGAAACAUAUUUGAGUCAGUUAGAAGCUAGUUUUCUGAUGAAGAAGAAAGUAAUAAAAACAAGUAAGAAGACAUAAAAAGAAGAUGAAGAAAAGGGAGGAGGAGCAGGAAAAGGAGGAGAAGGAUGAGGGAGAUGAAGAGAAGGAAGAAGCAAAAGCAACCUGAUUUUUGAAAAGAAAAAAGGAACUUCCUCGAACUAAAGCAGUUAAGACCUCGACAUUUGCUCAUAGAAAAAGUCGCUGAGUCGUUUCUAGUUGUGAAGGUGCAAAAGAUGCAGUUAUCCCUUAUGGAAAAUUCCAAGAACUUGUGCCUAAUUUGAGUCAUGCAAACCUGAGUUCUGCAUGACUGAGCUCUGUCACUCAAUGGUUGGGAAAUUUGUGAUCAUCUCUACGCCUUGCUUUCUGCAUCUGUAAAGUGGAAAUGAUAAUAUCUACCUUGUGUGAUUCCUGGAAGAAUUAAAUACAUUAUAUUCAAAAUCUUUUGGUCAAUUGUAAAUUAACAGCAAGCAUAAGUUAUUGUAAACUGAGAGAAUCAAACUUUGAUUAACAUAUUUAGCAUCUUUAAAAUCCACAUAAUUCCAGUUUUUACUCAUGGGAGAGGAUUAUAUUGAAAAUAAU